GGGGAAGAGCAGUCUGGGGAUUCCGCAUCAGAGGAAUCCAGGAGGGGCGAAACCCCAGUGGGCAGAAGGACCCUGCGGAAAAGGAAGGAGAGAAAGAGGUGGAGCAGCGCAAGUCUCUUAAAUUGGUGCAGGGGAGGAACUGACUCAGAGGGGACUUCGGCGGUCUAGCGUAAAAGACGUAAGGCUGCGCGCCUAGGAUGUCAAGCAAACCAUGAACUGCAAUAAACACUUUUGUAUAU